GCCCGCGCCCCUGCAAACCGCCUCCUCUCCUGUUGCCACCGCCGCCUUGUCCUCGUCCGCCUCCACUUCUACCACCGCCGCCGCCUCGGCCUCGGCCGGCCCGUGCUCUGCCGACGCUCGUCGGCCUCGAUCCGGCCUCGGUAGAAGGAGCUCGCCCUCGAGACUCGGCAGGAGGAGCUUGCCCUCGAGUAGGACUCGACAGGAGGAGGGGAGUAGCAGCCUCGCCCCGUGCUCCGCCGGUGCCCGUCGGCCUCGACCCGUCCUCGGCAGGAGAGUGCUUGGGGGAGGAGAGGAAGGCGGCGCUCCAGGGUGCUGGGCAGAGAGAGAUGGCGGCGGCGGCAGGAGCAGCUCGUCUCUCCUCUUCGUCUCAUCUCAUGGAUGAGGGCGUUGGCUCGAGAAGCUCUAGGAGUGGAAGACGUCUUCCUUCAGAAUUUUGUGGAGGAUUUUGUUGCAACAACACUGUCCUGACUAUUUGUGUUUUUUGGAAUUUGUUAAUGAGAUUCUGGUUAAGCGCUUUGACUUGGCCAGUGAUCUUGUCUCAAAUUACAAUUUUGGAAUUUCUCAAUGAAAUUCUACAAUCAGGUAAACCUUUUGUUUGGACUAUUUGUCGAUAGAAUAUUCGAGGCACUUGACUAGAUGUUGUAUACCAAGCAGUUCAUCAGUUCUCUUGCUGGCCUGCAGUGUUCGCCAUCAUGUAAUUUUAAGAACAAAAUUCAGAGAAAACUUACUGCAUGUUAUGCGUGGGCCAUUGAGGAGUUCUGAUAGUCUUUACAUUAUAAUGUUUUUGGUGCAGACCAUCGAUUUUACUAAGUCUUUGUUUGUUAAUUUCCGCAAAUUUCAGCAUGAAUAUGCAUUCAUACUCGUUCUCAGUUAUCCAUAUAGCCAUUUUCUUACAUGUGCAGUAUGCAAUCAUGUUCUUUUCUUGAGAUGCUUUUGGCCUGUUAGUCUUUCAUUUGAAGGAGAAUCACCAAGAGGAAUUGAGACUAUUAUCAAAAAUCCUCAUUUUGUAGAAGGGUUAAGCAAUUGGUCCAGACAAGAUGUAAUAUCCGCAGGCAUGAGUUAACUGCAUAUGGGAAUGUAAAUCACAUAAAUGGCAGCUACUUUGCGUCAGCAACUGGACAGGUUCACAGUUGGAAUGGCAUACAACAAGAUAUCACAGGCAGAGUGUAAAGAAAAGUUUCUUACGAGAUUAGUUCUCCUGUUUGCAGAUUUGGCAAUGCUAAUGAUACUGAAGUUCAUGCUACUUUGUGGGUAUGAGAAUAUGGCUGUGAACAAUAUCUAUGCAUUUCAAAGGUUACAGAUGCCACAAGGCUUGCCUAACAAAGGUUCGCUGAAAAGGAAUGGCUUGACAAAAAAAGGUGGUUCUUUCUUCCAUUAACUGUUUCAAUCCUCUCUUUUUUCAUUUUCGUCCUUAAAGGAAUGCUAAUGCUUAUGUUUUACUAUCUAUAAAAUAAAAAUAUGCCAGCUGGCUUCUUAAGGGGGCUUGCUGUUGAUUUUUUUUGUUGGAUUAGAUGGUUGCCAGUAUACAUAGCAUCUUGAGUGUCUUGUUGAUGUUCUGAAUAAAGCAAUUGACGAAAUAUGUGUAAACUAUGUUUUGUUUAACAAAAAAAAUCCUUAUCCACUUCACUCUUGUUACCUUAUAUGACAUACAGGGCUAUCAUUCGUCUGGGUUAAAGCAGUUGUUGUGAUCAGGCAGAGAGAAUUUGAGAGCAUCAACAAAAAUCCUUAUCGGCUACACUUCAUAAAUGUUUUCUCAGUGGCUGUUUGAUAUAGAUGUUUCAUUCAUUGCAUUAGAACAUAUGAUUCUGGGAGCAAAUUAUCUUCGCUGAUCUGUUUUAGAGAGAUGCCUGAUUAGCUGCACAAGCAUACAUGGUUCUGUUAAUAAUUUGUUUGCCUUGAUCAUCUUGAUAUUCAGUUAUGUUGGUAUGGUCAGAAAACAAGCUUCAAAAGUAUUUAUGAUGACCGUUUGCAUGGUGGGUCUUGUCAGCAAUAUGCUUUGCAUAUUCAUGAUUCAACCAUUUGUUGGAUGUUUUAGUUUACAUGUUUCUCCGGAAAAUGUUUGUAUGUCUAUGUAGUCGUUUUGGAAUGGGCUAUGAUUCUUUUUUAGUAUUUUAGUUUACACCACUAUAUUGGUAUAGUAUAGGUUUGUACUGUUUCCUUGGGAAUCUAUAGAUCCAGUCAAGCUGGGAUAGGAUACAUUUGUUUUACUCGGUCAUGGCGAUGGCACUCGAUACCGAGGACAUGGCAACAGGUCAAGAGUCCAUCUUUUUUAUACAUUUUUGCAGGCUUUCCUCUCGAAAUGCAGAACUCUUUUUCGCUCCCCAUCGAUGACGGUCUUCUUGUAUGAACAUUUUCAUCUAUGCUCCCUAUUUUCCUUGCUCCACUAAAUAAAAUUUUUAGUACCAAAAUGGUGUUGAUUAAUCAUUUUCUACACCUAUAUAUGUGUGUUUCAGGGUGUUUACCUUUGCGGUUAUCAUUAUGAGGCCUUGUAUGGAGCAAUACCUUAUAUUAUAGUUCACCCAGAAGGGAACAUAAUGGUUGACAGGUAAAUAGAUUCAACCUAUGAAGUCGCUCCUCGGCUACAAGGUUGUAUAUGUUUCUGAUAGAAGUUCAGUUUAAGCACAAGUAAUAGUAUUGAACGAUUUGCAUAGCAUGGUGACAUAAAGGAAGUAAGUAAUAGAUCCCUCUAGCGUAUAUGUGUAGUUUACGGUUUGUCGUUAAUUGAUUUUUGGUCGGAACCUUGAUGGGCACAUCAGCCAUGGUUCUUGCCUCUUAUUUGGAGAGCAUGAACAAAUUGGAAAAUCAGUAGUGAUGGCAGAGAAAAUACUAAGUUUGCUUCCAUUCAUAUUAUCAGCGGCUACAUUCUCUUGGAUAGUAAUGUUGGUUUACAUGUUGAUAUCUUUUUACUUUUCCCUUACUAAAAUAAUUACUUUACCUAGGAGGCUACAUUCUGAUAUUAUCACUACGUAUUACACAUGAUUUUAGAGGAGGCUAAAACAACUUAGUAAUAAUCGUGCACAUAUACAUCACUAUCUGGAAAUGAUUUUAUGGGACGAGCACCGGACUUGUGUUUGACAAUAUAUGCUGAAAUGUUAUGUGUUCUUUACCUUUAGAUUUAUCACUCUAGGUGAAGUGAAUUUUGUUUGUAAGGAGCACGAGAGGCGAGGCCUGGCCGAAGUGGAGGAUGUCCCAUGGUGAGGGGAGGGGAGGGCAAGGCAGAGACAUGCAACAUCGAGGGUUGCAACCGUCAGCGGAAGACACCUUCUAAAAUUCCCACUCACAACGGUUAGAUGCUACUCUAUUCCUCUCCAUUGUCAUUGACGCUAUUACAAUUACAGGUUUAAGCCUCUUUGUCCCUCUCCUAUAAUCUAGCAAUAUAUCAGUUCUUAAAUUGAUUCAGUUCUUCAGCAUACAUAGCAUUCAAAUGCUUGAUGUUUUAAGUUUUAACUCUUUGGGUGGCCUUGCUUGAUAUUCUCCUCAUGUCUAUAGAUUGUUACAACGGAAUAACUUGUCAGACUCUUUGCAUGUUUAUAAGCUUAUCAGUUCAUUUUUCAAGAUUAUAUCAAUGAUGUCGCUUCCAGGUUGUUGAUAAUGCAUUGGAACAGUAACCGCAAAGUUUGGUCUUUGUAUUAUUUCUCUAUACAUUUGAUUUGGAUUUGUCCUGAUUUACGUAGAGAAGCCUCUGUCAAUACUGAAGUGUUUUUUGUUCAUUCUGUUGUUGGUCUCCAGACAUUUGUAUUUUGAGAAUCAUUCUGAAACCAGGGUUCAAAGCACUAAGAAAAUAUGAUUCUAUUUCUGAAUCUUGUGCUAAUGCUUCAAAGGGAGAUGUAGAAACAGAAUCAUAACUGUUCACCCAAUGUAUCUUCUAGCAGACUAAAAGGUUUGGUUCCUACUCCAUUCAAUGUCUAUGUGAUUAGUAACGUGGUCCACAUCUUUCACUCAUAAUUUUAUUAUUAUUAUUAUUAUUAUGUUUUGCAUAAUAACAUUGUAAUGCCCAGUAAGGUACUGAGGUGUUAUGUAACUGCAGUCCUGUAAUGAAUUUAAGUUUCAGUUCAAGUUGUUCACCAGGUUGUUAUUCCUCAUUCCUAAUAUUUUCUUUUCAUAACUUGCAUACUGAGGCAGAACAACAAUAAGAACAUUUGUUAGCUUUUUCAUGUGCAGGUUCAGCAGAGGGCAAUGCUCGAGAUAGAGUUGGGCUUACAAGAUAUAUAUACGUACGUCGUCACUUCUGAAUAAACAGAGAUGAGCAGCAACAGAGAUGUCUAUCCGACUGCCAUCCUUCCUUUACUUGGAUUCUUUUGUAAUUUUAGAGGUUAUUCUACAGCUUCUACAUGGAAGACGAUACAAAUAAGAGGGCAUUCUACAGAAGAUUGGACGAUGAUAUGGAAGGCAUUUGUAAUUUGGGCAAUGACGGCCCACCAAACACACCCACCAUGAAGAGCUGCUUAGACGCCGAGGUCAUCUUAUGUUAAUCACCCCGUAUCUUAGUGGCUGUAAGUUGAAUGGCCAGAGUUAUCUAUAUGAUGCAUCACUUCCUAUGUAGCUUGGUUUUUAAAAGCAAUGUAAAUUAGCUGUCAUGGACCAAUCUAAUGUGCUUAUGACACUAUGUAUGAACAAUCAUAUCUAAGUUUCUAUUUCCUAAUGCUUCAAGAAUUUUAUGACUGGUGGUUUGAAUACU